rnacentral:rRNA from 1 species
GACGUAGGGCGCAAGCGUUGUCCGGAUUUAUUGGGCGUAAAGAGCUCGUAGGCGGCUUGUUGCGUCGUCCGUGAAAACCUGUGGCUCAACUACAGGCUUGCGGUCGAUACGGGCGGGCUGGAGUUCGGUAGGGGAGACUGGAAUUCCUGGUGUAGCGGUGAAAUGCGCAGAUAUCAGGAGGAACACCGGUGGCGAAGGCGGGUCUCUGGGCAACAACUGACGCUGAGGAGCGAAAGCGUGGGGAGCAAACAGG